CUCACUUUUCAGGUAUUUAUUACAUUUAAAAAUUACAAAUAAUUCUCAUAUUGUGCCUUAGUCUAGUAUUUAAAAAUAUGUGGAAUAUUGUCUUUACCUUUAUAUAAAGUGGGGGGAAAAAAAGGAAGACUUAAAUAGAACACCAAAAGGGGGUAGGAGAUGAAAGUACGAUGUCAGUAACAAAUAAGAAAAUAACUAACUUAUUGAUGUCAACAACUGCAUUUAUAGACCUGGUCUAAAAAAAAAUCACUUUCUUUUAAUAUAAGUGGGAAGUUUCAAAAAAGUGGCAAAUAAGUUUGUGUAUUCAAUGGAGAACUGAGGAUUCAGCAAAGGCAAAUGCAAAUAAUUAAGGCAAUGAAUGCAGACAAACUAGAAAAACUGAAGUGGUUAUUAGAUAUGUCGGGAAAUAUUAGGAGAAAAUAUUGGGAAGAAUACAGGUUCAAUGCUUUGUAUAUUUUCUAUGUAAACUGAAUUCACUGAAUAACUAGAGAUUUUCUUCAUCAUCUAACACCACAAUUGCUCAAUUUUCUACUUUACCAGUGUAGAGGGUAAGAAAUAUCAAGAGGACAAAAUUCUCCAUUAAAUUACAUUUUUUUCCUGAAGCCUCCUUUCCAAAAAACACCGAGUGAUAAUAUGACCACUGAAACAAAUAUUCAUGUGAGAAUAUCACAAGAGUAAGAUAAUUAUUUUUAGUAUAUAAAAUGAAAAUGAUAUAUUCUUUUUUUCCCCUUCAAUUUCAGGACUUUAACCUACCUAUAAGUUAGCUUAGAGAAUGGACUUAAUAGGCUAGAUUCUCAUUAUAAAUAACUAUGAAGAGAGCUUGUAAAAACAUAAAGGGUAGAAAUCUGUCCUAGAGCUGUAUAGAUACCAGUUUUGUACAUAAAAUAGCAUUGUAUUAUACUGGUCUGCUAACUGUUCCCCUAUAUGAAAUUCUAGCUCAUCUUUCCUAACUUAUACAAAUGGUCUCCUACUCCUUUCUUACCUCUUAAUCACAGUAUUCUUAGCUUCUUUCAAAUACACUCAAAUCCUACAUAAAAAUCUUCUCUUGUCCUCCUGGCGUAUUCUUUUUGUCUUUUUUCCCCCUUGGCAUUUAUAUAACAUAUUUUGUCUAAAAGUAAAGUGCAAACUCCUUCAGGGCAGGAACAAUUUUAUUUUUGCUUAUAUUUCUAGUGCUAGCAAUACUUUUGCACAUAGUAAGCACUGGAGAAAUGUUUACUUAAUUGAAUAGAAUUAUUUCCAAAAAAUAUCUUUGUUUAUAUUUUCCAAAAUGUACUAGUGCUUUGUAAUCCUAACAAGCUCCCAAAGAACUGCAAGUGCCUUGGAAUUUGAGAUGCAGUUGCAUUCAUACACAUUAUGCUGACUCUGGCAUAAUCACAGGGAUAAAUGAAUAAAUCUAGGGACAAAUAAAGAUAGCUGUCAAUCUUUUAUUUCUAGGUGAUAUUUGUUCAUUGUCUAAUUUAAAUAUUAGAUUAUCUCUGUUAAUGUUACUAUUCAACAGCAAACUAAUAUUCUGUCUUAAGGUCACUACAAAACCAAAAAAGAAAACUUUUGCCCUGUGGAGCUGUCACAAAUUAACAAGGAAAAAUACAAUUAUGAAAGAAAUGACAGUGUAUCAUAUGGACAAGAAGUUUUCUGGUUUCUUUAACGCACUGAACAUUAGCCCCUCCAGUGUUUGUAAUAUAGAUUUCUUUUACUAGGAAAUUUACUAGGCUCUAGUAGCUGAGAAUGCUUCUUGAGUUAGGCAAAUAUUAUCUAGGCUUUUU
rnacentral:lncRNA from 1 species